AUUGAACGCUGGCGGCAUGCCUUACACAUGCAAGUCGAACGGCAGCACGGGAGUAAUCCUGGUGGCGAGUGGCGAACGGGUGAGUAAUACAUCGGAACGUGUCCUGUAGUGGGGGAUAGCCCGGCGAAAGCCGGAUUAAUACCGCAUACGAUCUACGGAAGAAAGCGGGGGAUCCUUCGGGACCUCGCGCUAUAGGGGCGGCCGAUGGCAGAUUAGCUAGUUGGUGGGGUAAAGGCCUACCAAGGCGACGAUCUGUAGCUGGUCUGAGAGGACGACCAGCCACACUGGGACUGAGACACGGCCCAGACUCCUACGGGAGGCAGCAGUGGGGAAUUUUGGACAAUGGGGGAAACCCUGAUCCAGCAAUGCCGCGUGUGUGAAGAAGGCCUUCGGGUUGUAAAGCACUUUUGUCCGGAAAGAAAACCUUUGGGCUAAUACCCUGAGGGGAUGACG
rnacentral:rRNA from 2 species